UUUUAGGUUCUUUCUGUGGCAUGUUUUCAUGGUGUGGGAAUAAGACUUGUUGGUCUAAUACAGCUAAUAUGUAGGUUAGCACUACAGCUUGUCUGUAAAGAUUGAAGCUGGGAAAGGGCCAUUGGAGCUGAAUUUAAUGGAAACAUUAACUGGCUGCAGCAAAAAAUGAUUGUGAUGUAACAGUGAAGAAUGUUAUUUAGAAAUUUUUUGUGUGUGCUUCAGAGAAAAAAAAAUGUGUAAAGAUUCUCCAUUUUCAACUAGAUUGGAAGCUUGUAUUUGAAAAUUCAAAAUUAUUCUUACUUUUCUUGUUGUGCUUAUGGAAACUGAACUAUUUUUUUUUUAUAUGUUUCAUAGUUUAGAUCUAAUUUGUUAUUCCCCUGCCGCCUGUAACUCUUAUUUCAUUUUUAUUUUGAAAAUAAAAUGAAACGGACCAACUUCACUUGUAAACUGUCCUGGCCAAAGGCUUCCAGUCGGUUUAGAAUGGAGAAUCUAAAAAAAAAAUAGAAAAAAAAUUAUAUUGUGUUUUUUGUGUUUCCUGACUUGUUAGAUAUUUUCCAACUUUUUGUUAUUUUUAUGCUCCAUUUAUGGGCAUUAAGAUUUUCUGGUCUGCAUAGGUUUGUCUUUCCCUUUGUAUGCUCUUCCCCCUCCAGGUUAAAAUUUAUUGAUGAAGCUGAAGUCCAAUCAACUUGAAACUUAGUACACAUGUUCCCUAUGAUAUGGUCUCUGUAAUUUUAAUGCUAAUUUUUUACCCCAUUUUCAUUUUUCAUUGAACAUAGAAAAUGAUAGUUCAGAUUGAGCAUCUGUGUACAAAUGACACAUUCUUGUUUGCAGUGCUUUUAGCUAAAAA